CAGCAGCCGCGGUAAUACGGGGGGGGCAAGCGUUGUUCGGAAUUACUGGGCGUAAAGGGYGCGUAGGCGGCUUUCUAAGUUGGAUGUGAAAACUCUGGGCUCAACCCAGAGCCUGCAUCCAAAACUGGAGAGCUUGGGUUCUGGAGGGGAAAGCGGAAUUCCUGGUGUAGCGGUGAAAUGCGUAGAUAUCAGGAGGAACACCGGUGGCGAAGGCGGCUUUCUGGACAGAUACCGACGCUGAGGCACGAAAGCUAGGGGAGCAAACAGGAUUAGAUACCCUGGUAGUCCUGGCCCUAAACGAUGAAUGCUUGGUGUGGCGGGUAUCGAUCCCUGCCGUGCCGAAGCUAACGCAUUAAGCAUUCCGCCUGGGGAGUACGGUCGUAAGGCUGAAACUCAAAGGAAUUGACGG
rnacentral:rRNA from 1 species